AUCUGUAGAGUCACACAUUCUCCGUUCAACGUCGGCGGGCGUUGGACGUGAAUCCUUCGUACUACCCACCUGAGGUAGACCGCCAA
ncrna:Synechococcus sp. CC9902 Cyanobacterial ribosomal protein S1 leader